UACGGGGGGGGCAAGCGUUGUUCGGAAUUACUGGGCGUAAAGGGCUUGUAGGUGGCCAACUAAGUCAGACGUGAAAUCCCUCGGCUUAACCGGGGAACUGCGUCUGAUACUGGAUGGCUUGAGUUCGGGAGAGGGAUGCGGAAUUCCAGGUGUAGCGGUGAAAUGCGUAGAUAUCUGGAGGAACACCGUUGGCGAAGGCGGCAUCCUGGACCGAUACUGACGCUGAGGAGCGAAAGCCAGGGGAGCAAACGGG
rnacentral:rRNA from 1 species